UCAAGCGAUUCUCCUGCCUCACCCUCCUGAGUAGCUGGGACUACAGGCCUGCGCCACCACACCUGGCUAACUUCUGAAUAUCAAGCUGAAAUUACUAUCAGAUAUCUUGCCACCACAUAGAGGCUUUGAGUGAAGUCUGCAUGGAGGAGAACAGAGCUGAGAGAUGGAAAGAUACUGAAUCCCAGUGACGUCCUUUGAGAUGUCGGAUCAAGCUGAGCUGGGCAUGAAGAUAGAGCUACUCCUAUACUUUUAAGAUACUCUACCACUCACAGAAACUACCUUUUAGUGCAACCACGGUGGAACCCUGCCAUAGUAUCUCUAGCAAUAACAAGCAAGAUUCAGAAGUCCAACAAGUAAGACAUUGAUUUCAUUAAGAGAGAACUAGUAAGCAAGCUAUUUGGGAAGUACACUCUCAUAAGAAUAUUGUUUCAUGAAGUCUUGAGCAACAAAGGAAAUAGUCCAUGAAGUGCACUGCUGUCAGACUCCCUCUAAGAAUACUUCAACUGCUCAUGAAGCGGGGGGCCUUAACUAUUUACUUCUUUUGGAAGCCUCCAUCUGGCCCAUCUAUCUUUAUUCUCCCAGGAUCACAGGAUGAAGUACAGCUUGGCUGACCCAGUUCUUGGGAUGGGAGGAUUAAUGAACUCUCUAAACCAAACUUUUGGAGGAAAAGAACUUCAGAGGAGUUGGACAUCAAAACUUCACGAUUCCCACUCUUGCAUCAUUUACCACCUAACUGCUGGAAGUAUCAGCCUACUCAUCGUUAUUGGCAUCACCUGGAAGC
rnacentral:lncRNA from 1 species